GCUUGUGGGUGCCGUUCGUCUUUCUUUUGGUUCCAAUUCAUUAUUGUGUCGAAUAAUUAGGAAGUGUUAAUGUAAUGUUGAGUUAAUGCGAAAGAAUAGCUUUACCUGCUAACACUAAUAUCCAACAAUUAACGUAUGAUUAUAUGGACAUACUAAGUUGCAAUGUACAUUUUAAAAAUUUGUGAUUUAUAAUUCAAAAAUUUGGUUUUUAUAACUAUGAGGUAUUACCAAGAGAUUUCUUUGUAAUUUUUCGAGAUGUAGUUCUAUUGAAUACAUAUUUGCAAAUAUUUUGUAGUUGUUGGAUAUGUCUUUGUUUAUUAGAAAUUAAUAUUGUUCUUUCUUGUGAAUGAUUGAAGAUAAGUAUGUUAUUUUUCUUUUUGAAGUUCUACUAAAUGUGAAUUAUAAAACGAUGUGUUACUGAUUUUUUUAAUUAAUAUAUUUUUAACUUAAAAACGAAAUAUUUUUAGAUUUUUUUAAUUGCUUUUUGGUUUACAUAAAAAUAAAAAUAAAAAAAAAUCAAACGAGAAUCUUUAAAUUAGAUGUGAAUUCUUUUUAACUUUGUAUAUUCUAAGAUAAUUUUGAUCCAACUAAACAGUUAUAAUUGUCUUAUGAAUGUUUGUUUUAUUGUGGCUGUGUUACAUGGAUAUUGUAUUUGGUGGUAUCAUACUAGGGGUCACUUUUCCUCAACAAAAUUGAUUAAUAAUUACUUAGCGAAAAACUUUUGUAUUCAGCUUUAGAAUUCAUACUGAUCUUUAUUCCACUUUCUUAUUAUUGUUUUCCUAAGAUUUUAUAUGUGGUUUAAGAAGGCAUUAUUUUCAUCUAACCUAUUAGCUAUAAUUUUCAAAAUUUUAGGUUGUAUUUUGAUUUAAGAUUUAUAUAUAUAUAUAUAUAUAUAUAUACUUAAAAACACAUAACUAAUCUAAAGAAGGCUUGUAGAUGUAUAAUAAAUUUUGUAAAAAAUUACAGAGAACAGAUACAAAAAAAACAUCUAAAGUUUAAACCUAAAUUUUUCAACAAAUUUAAAAGAUUUCAGACGGCCCAUAAAAUUUUAGACUGUAGAGACGGUAGUGUUGUAAGAUAGAAAAUUAAAUUUUUCUAUUA
rnacentral:lncRNA from 1 species